rnacentral:tRNA from 1 species
GGGCGUGUAGCUCAGCGGGAGAGCGUUCCGUUCACACCGGAAAGGUCACAGGUUCAAUCCCUGUCACGCCCACCA